rnacentral:rRNA from 1 species
CAGAGGGUGCAAACGUUGUUCGGAUUUACUGGGCGUAAAGCGCGUGUAGGCGGCUUGGCAAGUUGGAUGUGAAAGCCCACGGCUCAACCGUGGAAGAGCAUCCAAAACUGCUUCGCUCGAGUCUCGGAGAGGAAGGUGGAAUGCUUGGUGUAGAGGUGAAAUUCGUAGAUAUCUGGAGGAACACCAGUGGCGAAGGCGGCAUCCUGGACCGGUAUUGACGCUGAGGCGCGAAAGCUAGGGUAGCAAACGGG